ensembl:lncRNA
CCUGCCCUGGUCCCGCCCUGUGCCCCACUCCCGCGUCUCACACCCCCCUCCGCAGCUGGGGCCGGAGGGUCCCGGGAGAGAAAUAAGACGGAGGAAACCACGAAAUCAGGUCCAAGGGGAAAAAAGAGAGACAAAGGGAUGGAUUUCCCCCCUUCAGUUCUUGGAAACAACUUCCAGAGGCUCCAGGGAAGGGGAAUUUGAUAACCAUCUUUCAGAUGCUGUGUUGAUGGUCACCAGUUCCCACAGAGAAAGCAACAGAGCCGGAAGGAAAUAGAAGCCAUGGCCAUUGACUAUCUCCUUGGGAUCCAGGGGAAAAGAAUUACGUAUCUUUGUUGCUCUUACAUUUUCAUCCAUAAAGUGGGACUCUUGGCCUCAUGGACACUUGUAAGAAAUGGCUUCCUGUUAGAUUCCACCAAAAAGAGGCCCUGGGAGGAGAGCAGAUGGCAAGGAAGAGAGAUAAGGAUCCAUUUCAACAGGUGUUGGAAGUUGCUGGUGUGGCAAUGGACAUGGAGCCCCGGUCUAGUUCAUGCAUCUGGUAGAUCCAGAACCAACCAUGAUGGUGUCUUCAGUGAUGCAGCAGGAAGCAGACGCCCCUGGGGCUGGAAUGCACCACAGAAGCAGGGGUGGGGGCAGCAUAUAAUCACUGAAUUUACCCUUUUAGCUCUUCCUUACUUUUGUAGUCAGUUCUCCGUGUUACAUUCCCCCUGCUUGAAAUACCUAGAAUGGUAGCAAUUAUCCUGCCUGGACCCUGAAUGGCAUCCUUUCAUGCAGUUUAAUACAAAAAGAACAUCAAACCUUAAAAAACUUUGGCGUGUAUGCUUCCAGACUUUCCCCCUAGGAUUUUACCAUACAAAUGAUUUAAUACUGUGUGUAUUUACGGAAGUAUUAUCAUUCAUGUGCAUUCUUCCACAACUUGAUUUAAAAAAAAAUGACAACCAGUCUUGGAGUUCUCGACAUGGUGUUGUAAAUAUGAGCUUAUUGCAUUUAAUCGAUGCCUUGUGUUCUAGCAGCCAUUUAUCUACCGAUGGCCAUUCAGGUUUUCAACAUGUCUGCUCUUAAUAAGGCGCUGUGCUGAACAUUCUUAAACGUGCGCCCAUGUUUCCCUGUGGUCAUUAACCAGACGUGGGAUCGCAGAGUUGAAGGGUGUACACAUUGUAGAUUUGACUACAGUUUGCCCGAUUGUUCCUCAAAGUGGCCGUACCGAUUUGCACUCCCACCCAGGGGCAGGAGAAUGUCCUCUCCAAUUCUUGCUAUUUCCCAGCUCUUUAGUUUUGGACAGUCUGGGGGAUGAGACAGUAUCUUGCUGUUGCUUUAGUUUGCAUGCUCCCAUGGACUCAUGCAUUGCAGCAGCAUCUGAUAGGUUGACAAGGACUCCUGCAAAUGGCAGAAGUGAUUGCUCUUGCGAAGCCGAGUGACUGCUGCUCCCUGGCUUUCAGGGGGCAGGUCUGUGAGGUGGCUCUUUUGCUAACAAAGUUGCACCAAAAAGCUCCCCAUGAUUUCUUGUGCCAUCAGCAGUCGG